CUAGUUGUGACCGUAAACGAUGCCAACCAGCGAUUCGGCGACGUUCUUUUUAUGACUCGCUGAGCAGCUUCCGGGAGACCAAAGUGUUUCGGUUCCGGGGGAAGUAUGGUUGCAAAGCUGAAACUUAAAGGAAUUGACGGAAGGGCACCACCAGGAGUGGAGCAUGCGGCUUAAUUUGACUCAACACGGGAAAACUCACCCGUCCCGAACACUGUGAGGAUUGACAGAUCAAGAGCUCUUUCUUGAUUCAGUGGGUAGUGGUGCAUGGCCGUUCUUAGUUGGUGGAGCGAUUUGUCUGGCUAAUUCCGAUAACGAACGAGACUCUGGCCUACUAACUAGCGGCGGUAUUCACGUCUCCUGCGCGACGCCGCGCUGCGUCACGGCGCGGCUGAACACAGUCGUCGUCGUCGUCGCCGUUUGCGCGAGCGCUCCGCGGAGCACUUGCAGUGCCGGUAGCCGCUUCUUAGAGGGACCAGCGACACUUUCGCAAGCCGCACGAGAAAGAGCAAUAACAGGUCUGUGAUGCCCUUAGAUGUACGGGGCUGCACGCGUGCUACACUGACGGCGUCAGCGUGCGUUCAAGCCCGGCCUGGCAAGGCCAGGAAAUCGGUUGAAACGUUCUCGUGACUGGGACAGGGAAUUGCAAUUAUUUCCCUCGAACGAGGAAUUCCCAGUAAGCGCGAGUCAUCAGCUUGCGUUGAUUA
rnacentral:rRNA from 1 species